GGACUAGGGAAAUCCGACUGUCUAAUUAAAACAGCAUUGCAAUGGUCUUUAAGGGUGUUGACGCAAUGUAAUUUCUGCCCAGUGCUCUGAAUGUCAACGUGAAGAAAUUAAAAAAAGUGCGAGUAAACGGCGGGAAUAACUAUGACUCUCUUAAGUUGUAGUUACUCGGAAUGGUGAUGCGUAACAUAGGCCCACCUCUCCCGUUUCUGCCUGCUCUAUCUCCUCCCUCCCAAGGGCUGCAAGCUGCAAUUUGCUACCCGCAGUACGGGAAUUAGCAAUUCCG
rnacentral:ncRNA from 1 species